rnacentral:sRNA from 1 species
CAUGAACACUGCUCUUGUCCAUCUUAGCAUCCCUCAA